ACUCCUACGGGAGGCAGCAGUGGGGAAUUUUGCGCAAUGGGCGAAAGCCUGACGCAGCAACGCCGCGUGAGUGAUGAAGGCUUUCGGGUCGUAAAGCUCUGUCAGGGGGAAAGAAGUGUAUUGUGGCUAAUAUCCACGAUACUUGACGGUACCCCCAAAGGAAGCACCGGCUAACUCCGUGCCAGCAGCCGCGGUAAUACGGAGGGUGCAAGCGUUGUUCGGAAUUAUUGGGCGUAAAGCGCGUGUAGGCGGUUUUAUAAGUCUGAUGUGAAAGCCCUGGGCUCAACCCGGGAAGUGCAUUGGAUACUGUAAGACUUGAAUACGGGAGAGGGCAGUGGAAUUCCUAGUGUAGGAGUGAAAUCCGUAGAUAUUAGGAGGAACACCGGUGGCGAAGGCGGCUGCCUGGACCGAUAUUGACGCUGAGACGCGAAAGCGUGGGUAGCAAACAGGAUUAGAUACCCUGGUAGUCCACGCCGUAAACGAUGAGAACUAGGUGUUGCGGGUA
rnacentral:rRNA from 1 species